CGUUUCAGUUGUAUGUGUGAGAGCGUUUCAGUUGUGUGUGUGAGAGCGUUUCAGUUGUAUGUGUGAGAGCGUUUCAGUUGUGUGUGUGUGAGCGUUAUAUUUUCAAUUGUAUGUAUGAGAGCAUCUCAGUUGUGUGUGUGAGAGCAUUUCAGUUGUGUUUUUGAAUGUAAUAUUUUCAGUUGUAUGUGUGAGAGCGUUUCAGUUGUGUGUGUGAGAGCGUUUCAGUUGUGUGUGUGGCAGCGUUUCAGUUGUGUGUGUGGCAGUGAUAUUUUCAAUUGUAUGUAUGAGAGCAUCUCAGUUGUGUGUGUGUGAGCAUUUCAGUUGUGUUUUUGAAUGUAAUAUUUUCAGUUGUAUGUGUGAGAGCGUUUCAGUUGUGUGUGUGAGAGCGUUUCAGUUGUAUGUGUGAGAGCGUUUCAGUUGUGUGUGUGAGAUCGUUUCAGUUGUGUGUGUGAGAGCGUUUCAGUUGUGUGUGUGUGAGCGUUAUAUUUUCAAUUGUAUGUAUGAGAGCAUCUCAGUUGUGUGUGUGUGAGCAUUUCAGUUGUGUUUUUGAAUGUAAUAUUUUCAGUUGUAUGUGUGAGAGCGUUUCAGUUGUGUUUGUAAAAGCAUUUCACUUGUAUGUGUGUAAGCAUUUCAUUAUAGUAUGUGAAUGAAUUUGGUUUCAUAUGUGUAUGUGAGAGGAAAAGUACAUGUAUAUGUAUGGUAAUUCUGAAAAAAGUCCCUAGGGGCACCUCAUACCUUUUGACCAAUGGAAACAGGUCAACGAAAUGGGCUUUCUUGUGGUUGGCUUACAUGGGCCGUCCACCAUACACUGACCAACACAAGAAAAAUUCUAAUCAAGUUAGUUUAUUUUCUCUGAUUGCAAUAAACAAUUUACUGAUCAAAUAAUAAACACAAACACUUCAAACCAAAUAAAUAACACAAUUAUGUAAAUCCACCCAACACAAACCAACUAAGUCAAAAUAAGACAAAUUAAAUAAAAAACACAAUCACCCACAAUAACUACACUACAUUCUUGAGCAGUUUUAAUGUAAAGCAGAUCAAAGAAAUAAUACAACUCGAAUAACAAAAUUAUCAAAAUACUAAAUCAAUUCAAAAAAACAAAACCUAGUAAAACUAUUAUACUAAUAAUGAAAAAAAAAUAAAGCAACCAAAGACAAAAUUUCAAUACAACUCACUUACACACACAUACAACCAACAAAUAAACACAAACCAAAAGAUUAUACCACAAUUAAUCUGCUCCGUAAGUGAGCAGCAUUAAUACAAAAAAAGACAAAAGAAAUAUAACAAACCCCAAAUCCCAAAAUAACCGAAAUGACUAAAUCAUUAAUAAACAAAUCUAAAUGAUAAUAGCUGAUAAUUUCAACAAAACCGAAAAUAAAAAAGGAAACAAACAAACACACACACAAUUUCAGUUAAACUCACACACACAACAAAAUACAAUCAGCAAAUAAAUGAAAAUCAAAAGGAUUGCGUCACCGUUAAUCUGCUCCGUAAGUGAACGGUAUCAAUUUGCAGGAAGCAACCCAAAUACAAUAAUCCCAGAUUACUAAAUAACUAAAUAAGUUAAUAAACCAUCCAUAAAAUUGCGCCAGCGAGGUGGCGAACACCAUGCAACCCCGAAAUCAAGUUACAGGUUUAUAGCGGCUCCAACAUGGACAUCGUACAGGCAUUAACAAUGUUCAAUGAACUUGCAAGCACUCGAUACAACCACAAGCGUUCACUGCAAACCCGCUUCUCAAACGGGAACGCUGAUUUAACCGCAGCAAAGCAGCAACUGGCACUCUGAAAAAUAUUAGACAUACAUUCGUUUGCUUUUCUUCUUCCUCCCCACUCCUCUCCUAUUUAUAAUCACACCAGAAGGGUAGGGAAAAAUAAAAUUACCUUUUGCGUGUAUAACACUCACAUACUCACAGCGGAUGCCUGGAUAUACCCAACUAAUCUAAAAUAACACCAAACAAGCACAUUAAUCACACCUGUGAAUUAAAUAAACUUCCCCACAAACACCCGUAUUCUAAAUGUAUAAUUCCCUCCCGUCAAUAUUCUCCAAUUUAACCAAACCUACCUUUACCAAGGAGUGAAGGAGAUACAAGACCUCCAGCAACAGGUCACAUCAGUACAAUGGCACGAAGAAAGCGAACUCACCUGUGCCUAUAUAGCUACGUGAUUACCUGACGUACGCAACCACGCACCUGGUGCAAUCUGUCUGCUCUUUUAAAGGGCUACGCCAGCUAUUAUUAAAGGGGCAAUCCCACUACAAUCGUAUUACUUUGUUCAUAUUUUCACAGCCACCAGAAUCAGACUCAAGUCAAGUGCUCAAAAGGGAAAUAGCAUGUUGGUCUCUUCAAUGCAAUGAUAAAUAAAAUAGUUAUAACUAAUUAAAUAGUCAGAUCUUACUUUGACUUGAUGUACAGUUUGCUCAAGGUCAGAACACAGCUUAUUCAUACAAAUCAAAUAGUGACACUGGCUAUAUGUCUGCUUUCUUUUUAUAGCAAUAAAAGCAUAGAUAUAUAUAAAUAAAGCAAAGACAACUAUAAGAUAAUCUUUGUCUCGUGAAAGUGACUAGCUUGCUGAUGACGGUGGCAGCCAUAGUAUUGUUGAGUUUGUCUAAUUGGAAGAAAUGUUUAUAGUAAUCUACAUAAACCAUGUAUUCUUGAUUGUUCCAGGUGAAGAGCUCUGAAGCUAAUACCUGCCAUGGUCUGAUUGGUAUUUCAUGAGGAAUCAUGGGUUCCUUGGUAUUUGAAUUAUGUUGCACUAGGCAAGUACUGCAUCUUUCGAUCAUGUGUUCUAUCUGCUAACACAUUCCUAGCCAGAAUAACAUUUUGUGCUCUUAGCUUCUCUGCGUGUGCGCAUAUCUUUUCUGUGUGAGGUUAGAUAUGACUAUUUUCUUAUCUUCACUGGUCAAUGAAAGUUUGUCUUAGAAGUCAAUAAUGUAUGUGGGAAAUUGUCUCCUCUUUGCAGGCCAUCCAUCAAUGAUCAACUAUCUGAGCUGCUGAAAACUGCCUCGGUACGGAUCUGUUGCAUCUUUGUGUCACUGACUGUAUUUCUUCAAAUUCCUGUUCCGUGUCACAUGGCUUAUGCAAGACUGAAUCCAUGAAGGGGAUGGUCUGUGGAGACUGUGGGCGAUUCCUUCUGCUGUCAUUUAAACAUGAGCAGGAGUAAUGACGGGUUUAAAUGGACGCAACUAAUAUUAUGCCAGAGUCCGCUGCUUAUGCUGUAACCAUAAAGCAACCAGGACAACACACCUGGAGUGACCGAGAGCAGGAUGAAGAAAGAAUCGGACGAGAAAAUAUCAACUGGUGCCCAUGAGGAGACAUAAUGUUCUUGGACCUGCUUUUUCUGUUUAGUAAUAAGUGGUUUUAUGUGGUUAAAUAAAAGUAAUUUAAUAUUCAAUCCACAAGCUAAAUUUCUUAGAUUUUCUAAAGGGGUAGUUCACCCAAAAAGGAAAAUUCUGUCAUCAUUUACACAAACAGUUUGGUUACAAACAUUUCUCACAAUAUCUUUCUUCGUGUUUAUCAGAACAAAUAAAUUUAUGCGGGUUUGUAACAACAUGAGAGUGUGUAAAUGAUGACAGAAUUUUCACUUUUGGGUGAACUACCCCUUUAACAUUUUUAUACCCAGGGGUAAAAGAAAUGUAUGUUGAACAUUUUUAGUUUGCCUUUUUUUUGUUACUGCUCCUUUCAAACAAGACUAAUUAUUCAGCCAAGUUUAUUUUGUACUUUAAGAAAUGAACAGUUUUUAUGGGUUUUAAGACCCAGAUCUGUGCUCACAGUUCGCCCAUAAAAUGCCCAGUGGUCCCACAAUUUUCCCUCAGUAUGCCCACACUUUGUCCAUUGUGCCCACAUUUUUCCCACGUAUUUGUAUUUAAAUACAUUUUUCCACACAGUAUUUUGUAUUUGUGAUAUCUGUGAAUUUGUGAUAGUAUUUUGUAUUUGAAUUUUAAAACAACUCCAUAUAUUGUAUGCCUAUCUCAGAUCAUAUAAUAUGCAUGUGAAAGGCAGUUUCUGGUUUAAAUAGCAGAACACAAAAGGUUUUCUGUGUCAUUAGAAAUGCAGUCAAAAAGUGGG